AAAAAGUCCUGAGGCCAUUAUGACAUAAACCAACUACAACUGGGCUAGAUCCAAACUCAACCUAACCAAAUAAUCAAAUUAAAUUCACAAUCCAAAUUGAAAUUCUAAAAAGGGCAUUAACAAGUUGCUCCAAAACUAGAAUCAAACUAAAGAAGGCCUAAGGCCUAGAAAAUCAAACCCUAGAUUCUAGCUUGACCCAAUGAGUGUGGUAGACAAAGCCAUCGCCUGCCAUCCAACUCCCAUCGCAGAGCCACUUCAGAGCACCAUGAAAUAGCUCAAUGGAAUGAAAACCAGCAACCCACAUGGAUUCCAAGAACAAAAUUGCCUCCAAAGGAAAAAGCAACCCAUAGGACCCUUAAGCAAAAAACCAACACACAAAACCAUGGAGAGGAGCAAAUCUGAAGCCAAGGGGAACACUAAGCACGGGGCAAAGCUCUUUGUGCAUCUCCAAUAGUUGAGAGAUUGGAUGCCCAAAGGAAUGGCAUAGGCAACAUCUCCAAAAGGUUCCCAUGCAGACUAAAAAGGUGAAACCAGUGACCCAAGCAACUCCUGACUCCAAUACAUGGAACAAAAUCAUCGACUCACCCUAACUCAUGCACAUAAAGCCAGCCACAGAGAGGAAGCCCCACCACUAUUAAGCUUGAGGAACUUAGAGCCCUUGCAGGUGCCAAAAAAACCUUCUCCAUUUUAUCCCCAACCUGCAAGCCAAUAAAUAAAAACUAAAAUUUCUACAAUCUCGCUUGGAGAGGUGAGAGAAGACCUAUGUUGGAGGAGGAAAGAAGGUUGUCUCCCACUUGGAAGGGCAGGAGAUGGUCAACUUAGCUUGGCAGAAGAGAAAACCUAAUCUCAGAGAAACAAGCCAAAAAUGAUAGGAACGAGUCUCUUAACUCUUGUGAACUUUCUUGUAUUUAGAUUUUUUUAAGGGGUAUUUAAAUCAUUUUGUUAUUAUUAUUUGAAAAUCGAUUAUAUAGGCCAUAA
rnacentral:misc_RNA from 1 species